AUGCCUUUAUGGCAUGAUCAUGUGAAAAAGUACCUUGAUGCAGUAAUGGAUUUGAUUAUCACUGGUUACUCUGUUUUCACGAAUUACUAUCCAACUGUAACAAAGCAAGCAUAUAGUUACAGAACAAAAGGAUAUAGUCAUUUUUAUGUUCCUACAAGUAAAUGGCAGCGACAGAGUGGCACCCAGCCAACAAAGGAUUUCAGGCCGAUCAAUACCCUUAUGCCAAUAUACAUGGUUCAGUUCUGGACCACAACAGUUCACAUUUUUGUUACUGAAAACCCUGAGGGCCUCAACUAUCAAUGA
rnacentral:rRNA from 1 species